AUACGGAGGAUCCAAGCGUUAUCCGGAAUCAUUGGGUUUAAAGGGUUCGUAGGCGGGUUUAUAAGUCAGUGGUGAAAGUUUGCGGCUCAACCGUAAAAUUGCCAUUGAUACUGUAGAUCUUGAAUUAGUGUGAAGUGAUUAGAAUAAGUAGUGUAGCGGUGAAAUGCAUAGAUAUUACUUAGAAUACCAACUGCGAAGGCAGGUCACUAACACUAUAUUGACGCUGAGGGACGAAAGCGUGGGGAGCGAACAGGAUUAGAAACCCUAGUAGUCC
rnacentral:rRNA from 1 species